GGACCGACGGGAGCUUGCUCCCUUAGGUCAGCGGCGGACGGGUGAGUAACACGUGGGUAACCUGCCUGUAAGACUGGGAUAACUCCGGGAAACCGGGGCUAAUACCGGAUGCUUGAUUGAGCCGCAUGGUUCAAUUAUAAAAGGUGGCUUUCAGCUACCACUUACAGAUGGACCCGCGGCGCAUUAGCUAGUUGGUGAGGUAACGGCUCACCAAGGCGACGAUGCGUAGCCGACCUGAGAGGGUGAUCGGCCACACUGGGACUGAGACACGGCCCAGACUCCUACGGGAGGCAGCAGUAGGGAAUCUUCCGCAAUGGACGAAAGUCUGACGGAGCAACGCCGCGUGAGUGAUGAAGGUUUUCGGAUCGUAAAACUCUGUUGUUAGGGAAGAACAAGUACCGUUCGAAUAGGGCGGCACCUUGACGGUACCUAACCAGAAAGCCACGGCUAACUACGUGCCAGCAGCCGCGGUAAUACGUAGGUGGCAAGCGUUGUCCGGAAUUAUUGGGCGUAAAGCGCGCGCAGGCGGUUUCUUAAGUCUGAUGUGAAAGCCCCCGGCUCAACCGGGGAGGGUCAUUGGAAACUGGGGAACUUGAGUGCAGAAGAGGAGAGUGGAAUUCCACGUGUAGCGGUGAAAUGCGUAGAGAUGUGGAGGAACACCAGUGGCGAAGGCGACUCUCUGGUCUGUAACUGACGCUGA
rnacentral:rRNA from 1 species